rnacentral:rRNA from 1 species
CAAUACAGGGUCUAACGAUUUUGUAAUUGGAAUGAACUAAGUUUAAAACCCUAAUAUAAGUAACAAUUGGAGGGCAAGUCUGGUGCCAGCAGCCGCGGUAAUUCCAGCUCCAAUAGCGUAUAUUAAAGUUGUUGCAGUUAAAAAGCUCGUAGUUGGAUUUCAGUUAUAUGUAUAUUUGGCACCUUCGGGCAUCAUUUAUCAUUAACUUCUCCUUCCUUUACUACCGGAGGGGAAUUUUUA